GCCCGGCUAGCUCAAUCGGCAGAGCGUGAGACUCUUAAUCUCAAGGUUGCGGGUUCGACGCCCGCGUUGGGCU
rnacentral:tRNA from 1 species